rnacentral:rRNA from 1 species
GAUGAACGCUGGCGGCGUGCCUAAUACAUGCAAGUCGAGCGAACAGACGAGGAGCUUGCUCCUCUGACGUUAGCGGCGGACGGGUGAGUAACACGUGGAUAACCUACCUAUAAGACUGGGAUAACUUCGGGAAACCGGAGCUAAUACCGGAUAAUAUAUUGAACCGCAUGGUUCAAUAGUGAAAGACGGUUUUGCUGUCACUUAUAGAUGGAUCCGCGCCGCAUUAGCUAGUUGGUAAGGUAACGGCUUACCAAGGCAACGAUGCGUAGCCGACCUGAGAGGGUGAUCGGCCACAUUGGAACUGAGACACGGUCCAGACUCCUACGGGAGGCAGCAGUAGGGAAUCUUCCACAAUGGGCGAAAGCCUGACGGAGCAACGCCGCGUGAGUGAUGAAGGUCUUCGGAUCGUAAAACUCUGUUAUUAGGGAAGAACAAAUGUGUAAGUAACUAUGCACGUCUUGACGGUACCUAAUCAGAAAGCCACGGCUAACUACGUG